UACAGAGGUCCCAAGCGUUGUUCGGAUUCACUGGGCGUAAAGGGUGCGUAGGUGGCCUGGUCAGUCUGAUGUGAGAUCUCCGAGCUCAACUCGGAAAUGGCAUUGGAUACUAUCGGGCUGGAGGGUUGGAGGGGGGACUGGAAUUCUCGGUGUAGCAGUGAAAUGCGUAGAUAUCGAGAGGAACACCAGUGGCGAAGGCGAGUCCCUGGACAACACCUGACACUGAGGCACGAAAGCUAGGGGAGCAAACAGG
rnacentral:rRNA from 1 species